rnacentral:rRNA from 1 species
GACAGAGGGUGCAAACGUUGUUCGGAAUUACUGGGCGUAAAGCGCGUGUAGGCGGCUAAGUGUGUCGGGCGUGAAAUCCCACGGCUCAACCGUGGAAGUGCACCCGAAACUACGUAGCUAGAGUCCUGGAGAGGAAGGUGGAAUGCUUGGUGUAGAGGUGAAAUGCGCAGAUAUCGGGAGGAACAUCGAUGGCGAAAGCAACCGCCUGGGCCUGAACUGACACUGAGACACGAAAGCGUGGGGAGCAAACAGG